GACGCUGGCGGCGUGCUUAACACAUGCAAGUCGAACGGUGACGAGGAGCUUGCUCCUCCGAUCAGUGGCGAACGGGUGAGUAACACGUGAGUAACCUGCCCCAGACUCUGGAAUAACAGUUGGAAACAGCUGCUAAUACCGGAUACGAGACGGAGAGGCAUCUCUACCGUCUGGAAAGUUUUUCGGUCUGGGAUGGACUCGCGGCCUAUCAGCUUGUUGGUGAGGUAAUGGCUCACCAAGGCGACGACGGGUAGCCGGCCUGAGAGGGCGACCGGCCACACUGGGACUGAGACACGGCCCAGACUCCUACGGGAGGCAGCAGUGGGAAUAUUGCACAAUGGGCGAAAGCCUGAUGCAGCAACGCCGCGUGAGGGAUGACGGCCUUCGGGUUGUAAACCUCUUUCAGUAGGGAAGAAGCGAAAGUGACGGUACCUACAGAAGAAGCACCGGCUAACUACGUG
rnacentral:rRNA from 1 species